AUAAAACCUGGACAGUAUGCAGCCUGGAGAAACUCUUUGAAGAUUGUAAUGUAAAUACCAGCAAGCAAAUUGCAGAAGAACAUCAGACUUUGAAGCCAUUAAACGCAAAUCCAAGUGAUGCAAGUUCGAUGUGGACUUCUGAUAAACGUGAAUACCAACCUGUCUGAGAGGAAAACCCUGGACAAGUCUUCCUUAUUGUUUUAGUUCUAUUGUGCCACAUUCUUCCUCAGAGCAAGAAUUUGUUAGAUUGGCAUCAAAGAUAAACGAAGACUAACACAAUUUAAAGUGGGAAGGACAUAUUUUAAUCUGUAAUAACUAUUACAGUAGGAAAAAGCCCAGCAUGAACUGAACUCAACUUUAAUUUGUUCAGAGGUGAUUGAAUGCUUAAAGAGACAAUGAGGGCAUGGGGAGGGAGGCAAGGGGGGCCAGUAGAGCCAGCAAAGUGAAAAUUACAAAAAGCAGGAAGGGUAGAUUGUCCACAUAAAAGCCAUCUGGGCUUGCUAAAUAGUCCUUGUCAAAGUUAGACUCCUGCCCUUCCAUACACACUAGUGAACAAGGGCCCCAUCUUUAGCUGUUGGCUGAAGCAAACAGUAACUGCUUUCUUUGGGCAGCCUCGAGUUUUCUCAGGCAGGCACCUUAGGGGGGACCGGGGUCAUUCUAGGGAUGCAACCUUGAGCUCACAGAAACUAUAUCAAUGUUAUUUCAAGUCUUUUUUUUUUUUUUUUUCUGUGGCAGAGUCUCGAUCUGAGGCCCAGACUGGAGUACAGUGGCACGAUCUCGGCUCACUGCAACCUCCGCCUCCUGGGUUCAAGCGAUUCUCCUGUAUCAGUUCUCAAGUAGCUGGGAUUACAGGCACCAGCUACCACGCCCUGCUAAUUUUUUCUAUUUUUAGCAGAGACAGGGUUUGCCGCGUUGGCCAGGCUAGUCUCCAACUCCUGACCUCAGCUGAUUAGCCCGCUUCGGCCUCCCAAAGUGUUGGGAUUACAGGCGCGAGCCACUGCACCUGGCCCUAGUUCAAGUCUUUUUAAGCCAAGGUCAAGGCCUACUUGGGGAGCAGUCUCUGACGAUCCUAGCUAGAGUUUGUUCAAGGCAGAUUAUUUGUUGGUAGUCUGAGGCAUGCCUGGCUUCUAGUCUGCUUUUUAGACAACCACCAGGUUAGUGCGAUGGGAUUUUGAGCCAUCCUGGUAAAUUCUUUGUUCAGUACCUCAUUCUCUAUACUUUCCAGCAAUUUCCUAAAGAAGACUCACAAUUUUUUAAAAACAAGCUAGCCAAAAAGAUAAUUCUGGUAUAUUAAUAUAACAUCUCUGCCUCAUAGUCAUAAUAUGUUGAAAGGGGAAUGGGCAAGUUAAAGUCUAGGGAGCGCUUUAGUCUGCAGGGAAAUAGUUUCUUGUUCCCAGGGCAGAGUUAUUCACUCCUGGCUUUCUACAGAAACAGAGACUAUUUGGAAAUAAUAACAUAAUUAAUAACGCCAGCAGAAGGUGCCUCUUACAAUAAAUAAUGCUAAUGAUAAAGAUUGAGUCAUCAUCACAUUGCAUAAGAGAUAAAUUUAUGUGGUUCCCACUUAUCAAUUUCAGUAUUCUUAAUGAAUUAGUAGACAAGGUCGUCUGCUGAUGAAUGAAAGCCAAGUGUUGGGUACAAGGAGAAUAAUGAAGUUUUGAAAUGGCUGUAAAAACCAAAAUAAAUUCUAGCAGGAAUGGGUAAAUGAACUGCAGCAUAACAAUGAGGUCACAACAUUCAAUUAAGAACAUAUUCAACAUUCAAUUAACAUUCAAUUAAGAGCAUAUAGUGAUACAAACCAUAUCUUUCAGGUUGAUUUGAUUCUAUACUUUUCAUACAAAAGACAGGCUUUGCUUUUCUUCUGUAUCAGAAACUCAUUCUACAAUAUUUGACAAAUUGUCUUGAAGACUAAAAAAUGACAGAAAAUUUACUUCAAUAUGUAAAAAAAUGGUUAAGUAGUUCUUAUUUUAAAAAUCCAUAUAUUGAGGCAAAAUACUUGUUUUGUUAUUUCUGUCUGUUUCUUCUGAAUCUGUUCCCUUGAACUUUAUCACUGAAGAUUUUUCUAUCAGCCUUUUUCAAUAAACAGAUCCUGUUGACUCAUGAACCUGUCUCAUCACCUCCGUGGGGCGGGUAGAGCCAGCUAAAGUUCAGAUAUAUGCUUUGUCCAUGGAGGAACAAAUAUAUUUUGUCUGUGCAGUGGCUCUUUCUCUUCUGAAAAGUAUCUAAACUCAGAGUUUAUUGCCCUAAGUAUCCAAACAUGCUUAUUAUUCAGUUUCUCAUCUUGUUCAAUUUGUUUAAUGGAUAGAACAUUCUUAUUUGAUACAAGAUGUUCAUACUAAGAUAUACUCAAGAUAAUUUUAACAUAUAAAUAGGAAAAGGUGAUUUUUGUAAUAGAUUUUACAAAUAGACAAAAAGGAGGAGGAAUGAUUGUACUAGGCAUAAUUAGUGCCUGCAGCUUUUCUCCACUUCUCACAGCUUUAAGCCAAACAUGUAAACUACAGCACCAGCUCAAUCGUAAGGUGAUUUUAUUUCUUAGAAGUCAAGUAAAAAAAAUUACUGGCCAACAUCUAAAAGAGCUUUUUUCUAUUUUAUAGUACAUAUGUGCAAUAGCAAACAGAAGUCUUGCAGUAAAGUGAGUUUCCUAAGAAGUGAGAAUGUAACAUAUAGAGGAGUCACAGUGCAUAAAGCACAAUAAGUAUAAAUCAGCCACAAAGCUCAAGGUCUGCAUAGAAAUUGUUUAUAGUAACCCUGCUAUAAAGCCAACAAAAAAGAAACAGUUUUAAUUUAUAAGACAUUUAAGUUAAUGUUGUUAUACAGGGUCAUUUAACUAAGAGUCACAGCUUCAAGGUAUACUGUUAGUCUGUACUAUGUAUUUACAAUUUACUUGCAAGAAAUAUAAAAUGUCCUCUGUAUCUGCAGGAUCAAGAGGAUAUAUAGCACUAUGAGAUACAUGUCCUGAAAGUUGUAAAAGAAAGCUAUCUUCUACCUGAAGUUGAGAUUUAGAACAUAGGCUACAUUUACAGACAUUUUUACUUUUAGAAUUUGGCUGAAUAUUCCAGAAUUGAUUGUACAGAAGUGAGGGAAACAAGACAUUGAAAUAUUUCCCUGCAAAGAAAAACUGGAGAGCAGUGUACCUUAAACCUAAAUAAUAAAAGCUUCUACCCUUAUGUCUACAUGUAAUACUUUAAACCAGACUUGACUUAUUUCAACCAUUCACUGCCUAAAGAAGAGAUUUGGAAAUGCUAUUGUCCUCUUUGUUCUUCACUAACUAAAAUAGAAGUUAAAUUUAUUUAAUCAAGCAUUGCAAGUCUAUCAUGAAGUACUCCUAACCUAGGCUGAC
rnacentral:lncRNA from 1 species